CGAAGCCUGAUGGAGCAACGCCGCGUGGGUGAAGAAGGUCUUCGGAUCGUAAAACCCUGUUGUUAGAGAAGAAAGUGCGUGAGAGUAACUGUUCACGUUUCGACGGUAUCUAACCAGAAAGCCACGGCUAACUACGUGCCAGCAGCCGCGGUAAUACGUAGGUGGCAAGCGUUAUCCGGAUUUAUUGGGCGUAAAGGGAACGCAGGCGGUCUUUUAAGUCUGAUGUGAAAGCCUUCGGCUUAACCGGAGUAGUGCAUUGGAAACUGGGAGACUUGAGUGCAGAAGAGGAGAGUGGAACUCCAUGUGUAGCGGUGAAAUGCGUAGAUAUAUGGAAGAACACCAGUGGCGAAAGCGGCUCUCUGGUCUGUAACUGACGCUGAGGUUCGAAAGCGUGGGUAGCAAACAGGAUUAGAUACCCUGGUAGUCCACGCCGUAAACGAUGAAUGCUAAGUGUUGGAGGGUUUCCGCCCUUCAGUGCUGCAGCUAACGCAAUAAGCAUUCCGCCUGGGGAGUACGACCGCAAGGUUGAAACUCAAAGGAAUUGACGG
rnacentral:rRNA from 2 species